UACGAAGGGGGCUAGCGUUGUUCGGAUUUACUGGGCGUAAAGCGCACGUAGGCGGACUUUUAAGUCAGGGGUGAAAUCCCGGGGCUCAACCCCGGAACUGCCUUUGAUACUGGAAGUCUUGAGUUCGAGAGAGGUGAGUGGAAUUGCGAGUGUAGAGGUGAAAUUCGUAGAUAUUCGCAGGAACACCAGUGGCGAAGGCGGCUCACUGGCUCGAUACUGACGCUGAGGAGCGAAAGCGUGGGGAGCAAACAGG
rnacentral:rRNA from 1 species